rnacentral:lncRNA from 1 species
GGGUCCCUAGUACAGGAUGGGAACAGUGUCUCCUCUGGCACUUUCAGCACAUGUAAGAGUCUCUCUUUUCCACUUCACCCGUUCCUCUGAGGAGCCUUGUGUUGGACUGCUCUCCUCUUGUGACGCACUGAGCCACGGGGAGAAAGACCUGUCUUCUGCUAUAGGAAGCACUCCCUUCUUGCUAGGAGAUGUCGACAAGAUGCCAACCAGUUCUCAUAGUGUGGAUUGAAUUUUGGGAAAGAGGGGAUUGCUGCCUCAUUCUUGGGGAAAGAAAAUGGGCUUGUAGGAAAACAGGGCCUCCUCCUUCACAGGCCUGGGGAGGUAUUCAGAGUCGCAGGCCUUUAGGCCUUCUGAAGCGUAGGAAAGGUUCUAAAAACCUCACAACGGGCAUUAUACCCGCCGUUGUAUGUGGCCUUCAUGUUUAAGAUGCCACCUCUUACCAGGAAGGUUUCCUUUUGAUAAGCUAUUGGCAAGCUUUUUAGCCUCGGCAGUACUAGCCUCUGUGGCCAAGAGCCCAUCAGAGCACACACAGUCCCAAGCCAUUCCUGGCACUUCUUUCAGGCCACUAAUCUUAUUAGAAGCAUUGUGAAUUUGGUCUCUUCCAGAGAAGAGAACUCCAUUUCUUCAAAAUCAUACUGACUGAAAGCCCCCAUGAAAGACACGGCCUCCUGAGGCCAGCUGUUGUAUGUGUUCAGUCUCCCUUUCCCGUGUUGCUUGGUCGGCCUCCCCAGCGGCCACAAGCCUCACCUGCUGGCUUCUCGGGAGUUUACUGUCCCACUGCAGGCAGGCAGGCAGGAAGGAAGGACUCAGCCUUGUCACACCAGUCUUCAUGGGAAAUUAAGACAGGGACAAGAAGGUUUUCAUUCAUUUGACAGCUUCCAAUACCCACGCCCUCUUUGAGGGUAACACUGGUCAGUCCAGAGAGCCCCUGGCUGGAGUUGGCCUGUUUGACUUUCAGGUUUUUAGAACCUUUCCUGACAGUUCUUGGAAGUGCCAAUCCCCAGCUCCAUCCCAGGCUAGGGGAAGAGCUGUGCACAUUCAAGGGCGUUGCCUCUGAAGACUCUGAAGAAUAGCUCUGUCUUGGAGCCGCACCUCCUUGCGUCUGCCUAGCAGUGGGAUGUGUCCUCACCCUGCUUGCCAAGCCUCAGCCCCUGAGAUGCAAGGAUUGCUCAGUGGGAUUGCUGGCAGCUUCCACUCAGGAAGUCCAGGAGCAGUCUGUGGGCCUCAGGAGAGUACAAGAACCAGAGUGAAGGGCCUCUCCAAGCCAUGCCCCUGUGGGGCUCUGCUCUCUGGCCCCUCUGCAGCCUUUGCUAGCAGAGACAGCUCUGACCAUUGCUUGCACACCUUUUCAGCGGAGGGCCCUGUCCACAUCCAUGCCCAGGGAUAGCUGCAGCUCAUCUGCCAUUCUAUUCUGAAGAGAAGUGCAAAGCCUCAAACAAUAUAGACUCCCUCAACCCCGGAAGUGAGGCAGCUUUGAGGGCAGGGUACUUUAAAGUCCUCUUGGCUUAAAAUUCUGUGACUUUAUUCAAAGAUGAGGACUUUUUUACACUUAGAUUUCUGCUUCAAAAAUUGCUUAACUUUGAAUUUUCAGGAUCAGUCUUGCUUUUUUCCCAAAUUCAGGCUAAUGCUGGCCUGUCAGGGUCGACCUCCCCUCCGUGUUAGAAAGUGAAUUUAACAUUGAAAGCGACUGAGUAGUGGUGUGAUUGCUUUCCCUCCUGGUGGUUAUGUAAAAAUAUUACCAAGCUGCAGAGGUAGAGAUCGGAGCUGCUGUGAGGCCUAGGCCCGCCCUAGCGUACAGUGGGCAUCCUAGGAAACCGGCUGCUGCUGCUGCUGCUGCUGCUGCUGCUGCUGCUGCUAGGUUUGCUCAGCCUCAGACUCUCUGCUUGGCACCAACUCAUUUCUAGUCUGGAGCUCUGCCCUGGGCAGCAGGAGAGCCUUCCUCAGGCUGCUGUGGGAGGUACUCUUCCCAGGAGACACCAUGACCACAGCACAGAUGCACAGUUGGGGCUUGGAUGUGAGGAAAGGGACGAACCCUGGGGCUGGGUGCCUGCAUGCUGUAGUGGGUAAAAGGCAGAGGAAGGUGUGUGCAUGUGGAACAGGGUGGAGGUCGGAGCCUGGGAGAAAGGAAGCCAGGCUUCUGCACCUGCAAGUGUGUUCUGUCUCAUUGAGUUCGUCCCUCAGCUCCAGCUGAGCGAGAUUUUAAUCAGCUCCUCUAAUGGGUAUUGACACUGCUCGGAGCAGUCGACUCUGUCAGGGACAACUAUUGAUUGCUUGUGUUCUGAUUAGAUUGGAAAAAUAGAUCAACUUCAUUAUAGCCCAGAAGCUGUCACUGUCACAGCUACAAAGGGAUGAAGUGGUCUCUGAGGGCUGAGGAGAAUCAGUUGGCCUCCUGACAAGCCAGAGAGUAGGUGAAAGUUGUGGCCACGUCUCCGUGAGAGCUGUGGUUAAGGGUCACAGAUCUCCUGUGGUGCCUGGUGACCCAGCGCCUGGCUGCCCAGGUCUGGCAUUUCCUGACUGGAAUGGGGAUGUACAGUUUGUCCCAGUGUGCUCUGUCUCUUGCUCCUCAUCGCUCUCCCCGUUUCCCAAAGCACUUCUCCCAUCCAAAUUGGGAAUCUGCCAGAAUGACAUUUUGUUAUUUUGCCUCUAAAAUUUCCCCUAAUGUUUCCAAUAAAAUUUUGCUUGGGUGGCCCCUUAAGGUGUCACCAAGAUGCUAACCGAGGCCCCUCCAAAAUAAGCACACCUCCCCCUUCCUUCCCUCUCAGCCCCCUCCACACGCCUUAGGCCUUGCUUCUACACUUGGACUUGAUGGUGCUCGAGGGAAGAGGUUUUCCAUUAAUCAGCCAAGAGUCCUUGAGGAUUUUCAAAUGCCAACAGCAUGUCAUUCUGCCCACCACCCACGGCUACCCCCGUCUACUUUCGAAACUCCCUGGCUGUGCUAGCAGCCCUCAAAGACAAGGUUUGGCUUAUAGGUCAGCACGACCCCUCUGUUUCAGGGUCGUGUCUGCUCAUUCUAUCUUUUCUGAAAGAUGUGACUGGUACCGGCUGAAGGCAGAAGUGUUUCCUCAGCACAGGCUGGACGAGUUUAUUUGCAUCGUGACAGCCACUCAGCCAAGCAGGAGAGAAGAUCCACAAAAGGUCCAACCAUGAGGAGUGAGAAGAGCCUCUGACAGGCAUCAGAGCUGGGAUCCUGACCAAGGGACACUCAGGCUGCCACCAGCUUGACUCUCUCCAGAGUGCGUGUGUCUGUGCUGUUCUCCACCCUGUUCUCCUGAGAACUUGAGCAGAAGGUACCCAGCCUAUCCUAGGAUAGGGGAGACUAUGUGAAAGCAGUUGUAGUAAAGGUACCAGAAGGCACAGGGUACAGGGAGAAGAUUCGGAGAGGAUGCACCCGUCCAACAUGGCCACCUUUCUAGUCAGCAUCCCUUGAGCCCCUGGCAGCUCAGCCCUCCUAUGGCUGGCACCUCUCCUCUGCAGGGUCAGUGGUUCAGACCCAGCUUUGGUUUUACGUUUUCUUCCAGGCACGUGUGCUCCGCUCCAAUCCUGGUCACCACUUCAGCACUAGCAUUUUGUAUUUCCUCUCUCUACCCUUCACCCAUGCUUGAUGCACCGAGUGGAGCUGUUCGCCAGCCGAGUUGUGUGGAUUAACCUCAGUCAACUGUAAAUACACCUGGAGGAGGCUCCCGAGGGCAGGGAGCCAGGCUGGCUUCCCGAACUGAAUGUAUUUUUAUGCAAUUUUGAGUGGCCUUUUCAACCCUGAGAUGGAUGGAUUUAUUUGUUUUACUGAUUGUUGUUAUAUAGUAUUAAGUAUUCUGUGUUUGAAAGUUUGGGAAUAAUAUUCACAUCUAUAAGAUGCCUGUAAACACAGCAGUAUUUAUAAAUGAGUAAAUAAAACUGUGUUUUACCUUUGUGCCAUG